rnacentral:rRNA from 1 species
UACGAAGGGGGCUAGCGUUGUUCGGAAUUACUGGGCGUAAAGCGCGCGCAGGCGGUUUUUCAAGUCAGUGGUGAAAGCCCGGAGCUCAACUCCGGAACUGCCAUUGAAACUGUGAAACUUGAGGAUGAGAGAGGUGAGUGGAAUUCCCAGUGUAGAGGUGAAAUUCGUAGAUAUUAGGAAGAACACCGGUGGCGAAAGCGCUCUGCUAGGCCGCAACUGACACUGAGGGACGAAAGCUAGGGGAGCGAAUGGG